rnacentral:tRNA from 8 species
GGGCCGUUAGCUCAAUCGGCAGAGCACCUGACUCUUAAUCAGGGUGUUGCAGGUUCGAUUCCUGCACGGCCCA